rnacentral:rRNA from 1 species
AGCGGACGCUGGCGGCAGGCUUAACACAUGCAAGUCGAACGCCCCGCAAGGGGAGUGGCAGACGGGUGAGUAACACGUGGGAACGUACCCUUUGGUUCGGAAUAACUUGGGGAAACUCAAGCUAAUACCGGAUAAGCCCUUAUGGGGAAAGGUUUACUGCCGAAGGAUCGGCCCGCGUCUGAUUAGCUAGUUGGUGAGGUAAUGGCUCACCAAGGCGACGAUCAGUAGCUGGUCUGAGAGGAUGAUCAGCUACACUGGGACUGAGACACGGCCCAGACUCCUACGGGAGGCAGCAGUGGGGAAUAUUGGACAAUGGGGGCAACCCUGAUCCAGCCAUGCCGCGUGUGUGAUGAAGGCCUUAGGGUUGUAAAGCUCUUUUACCCGGGACGAUAAUGACUGUACCGGGAGAAUAAGCCCCGGCUAACUUCGUGCCAGCAGCCGCCGUAA